ACGCUGGCGGCAGGCCUAACACAUGCAAGUCGAGCGGUAGAGAGAAGCUUGCUUCUCUUGAGAGCGGCGGACGGGUGAGUAAUGCCUAGGAAUCUGCCUGGUAGUGGGGGAUAACGUUCGGAAACGGACGCUAAUACCGCAUACGUCCUACGGGAGAAAGCAGGGGACCUUCGGGCCUUGCGCUAUCAGAUGAGCCUAGGUCGGAUUAGCUAGUUGGUGGGGUAAUGGCUCACCAAGGCGACGAUCCGUAACUGGUCUGAGAGGAUGAUCAGUCACACUGGAACUGAGACACGGUCCAGACUCCUACGGGAGGCAGCAGUGGGGAAUAUUGGACAAUGGGCGAAAGCCUGAUCCAGCCAUGCCGCGUGUGUGAAGAAGGUCUUCGGAUUGUAAAGCACUUUAAGUUGGGAGGAAGGGCAGUAAAUUAAUACUUUGCUGUUUUGACGUUACCGACAGAAUAAGCACCGGCUAACUCUGUGCCAGCAGCCGCGGUAAUACAGAGGGUGCAAGCGUUAAUCGGAAUUACUGGGCGUAAAGCGCGCGUAGGUGGUUCGUUAAGUUGGAUGUGAAAUCCCCGGGCUCAACCUGGGAACUGCAUUCAAAACUGACGAGCUAGAGUAUGGUAGAGGGUGGUGGAAUUUCCUGUGUAGCGAUGAAAUGCGUAGAUAUAGGAAGGAACACCAGUGGCGAAGGCGACCACCUGGACUGAUACUGACACUGAGGUGCGAAAGCGUGGGGAGCAAAC
rnacentral:rRNA from 1 species